AGCAGGGACAAGGUACUUCUUUUUGUCAAUUUCUGGAACAUCGGUCUUGUCAGCCUUCUCAACGAUCACCGGAAUUCUGUCUGAGUACUUCUCACGGAUCCUGGCAGAUUCUGCUUGCCUCCUUUCCAGUGGGUGCUCGAGCUUGAAGGAAGUCCUGGCCAUCUCCAACCGAUCGAAGGGGCGCUGCCGCGGAAUCGAUAGAUCGAGGCGGGGGGCGAAUCGAUU
rnacentral:misc_RNA from 1 species